AACGAACGCUGGCGGCAUGCCUAACACAUGCAAGUCGAACGAGACCUUCGGGUCUAGUGGCGCACGGGUGCGUAACGCGUGGGAACCUGCCCUUAGGUUCGGAAUAACUCCCCGAAAGGGGUGCUAAUACCGGAUAAUGUCUUAUGACCAAAGAUUUAUCGCCUUUGGAUGGGCCCGCGUUGGAUUAGCUAGUUGGUAGGGUAAAAGCCUACCAAGGCGACGAUCCAUAGCUGGUCUGAGAGGAUGAUCGGCCACACUGGGACUGAGACACGGCCCAGACUCCUACGGGAGGCAGCAGUGGGGAAUAUUGGACAAUGGGCGAAAGCCUGAUCCAGCAAUGCCGCGUGAGUGAUGAAGGCCUUAGGGUUGUAAAGCUCUUUUAACCGGGAUGAUAAUGACAGUACCGGGAGAAUAAGCUCCGGCUAACUCCGUG
rnacentral:rRNA from 1 species